GACGAACCGUGCUAACGUUGUUCGGAAUCACUGGGCUUAAAGGGCGCGUAGGCGGACGGUAAAGUCAGGGGUGAAAUCCCAUAGCUCAACUAUGGAAGUGCCUUUGAUACUGACUGUCUCGAGGGAGGUAGGGGCAUGCGGAACUUCCGGUGGAGCGGUGAAAUGCGUAGAUAUCGGAAGGAACGCCGGUGGCGAAAGCGGCGUGCUGGACCUCUUCUGACGCUGAGGCGCGAAAGCUAGGGGAGCGAACGGG
rnacentral:rRNA from 1 species